AUUCAGCUGACGAGUCCCAAAAAGGAUGAAACGCGCGUCCUGGAU
rnacentral:hammerhead_ribozyme from 1 species